rnacentral:rRNA from 1 species
GAGGCAGCUCUCCUACGGGAGGCAGCAGUGGGGAAUAUUGGACAAUGGGGGCAACCCUGAUCCAGCAAUGCCGCGUGUGUGAAGAAGGUCUUCGGAUUGUAAAGCACUUUCGACGGGGACGAUGAUGACGGUACCCGUAGAAGAAGCCCCGGCUAAAUUUGUGCCAGCAGCCGCGGUAAUACGAAGGGGGCCAGCGUUGCUUGGAAUGACUGGGCGUAAAGGGCGUGUAGGCGGUUUUGACAGUCAGAUGUGAAAUCCCCGGGCUUAACCUGGGAGCUGCAUUUGAGACGUUAAGACUAGAGUGUGAGAGAGGGUUGUGGAAUUCCCAGUGUAGAGGUGAAAUUCGUAGAUAUUGGGAAGAACACCGGUGGCGAAGGCGGCAACCUGGCUCAUUACUGACGCUGAGGCGCGAAAGCGUGGGGAGCAAACAGGAUUAGAUACCCCGGUAGUCCACGCUGUAAACGAUGUGUGCUAGAUGUUGGGUAACUUAGUUACUCAGUGUCGCAGUUAACGCG